AAGACCUUUUUCGAAGGUAUGCUUAAAGAGGGGCUUGCGACACAUUAGUUAGUUGGUAGGGUAAAAGCCUACCAAGACUAUGAUGUGUAGCUGGACUGAGAGGUCGAACAGCCACAUUGGGACUGAGACACGGCCCAAACUCCUACGGGAGGCAGCAGUAGGGAAUUUUCGGCAAUGGAGGAAACUCUGACCGAGCAACGCCGCGUGAACGAUGAAGUAUUUCGGUAUGUAAAGUUCUUUUAUUGAAGAAGAAAAAAUAGUGGAAAAACUAUAUUGACGCUAUUCAAUGAAUAAGCCCCGGCAAACUAUGUGCCAGCAGCCGCGGUAAUACAUAGGGGGCAAGCGUUAUCCGGAAUUAUUGGGCGUAAAGGGUGCGUAGGCGGUUUAAUAAGUCUGUAGUUUAAUUUCAGUGCUUAACACUGUCCUGCUAUAGAAACUAUUAGACUAGAGUGAGAUAGAGGUAAGCGGAAUUCCAUGUGUAGCGGUAAAAUGCGUAAAUAUAUGGAGGAACACCAGAGGCGUAGGCGGCUUACUGGGUCUUUACUGACGCUGAGGCACGAAAGCGUGGGGAGCAAACAGGAUUAGAUACCCUGGUAGUCCACGCCGUAAACGAUGAGUACUAAGUGUCGGGGAAACUCGGUACUGAAGUUAACACAUUAAGUACUCCGCCUGAGUAGUACGUACGCAAGUAUGAAACUUAAAGGAAUUGACGGGACUCCGCACAAGCGGUGGAUCAUGUUGUUUAAUUCGAAGAUACACGAAAAACCUUACCAGGUCUUGACAUACUCUGCAAAGCUAUAGCAAUAUAGUGGAGGUUAUCAGGGAUACAGGUGGUGCAUGGUUGUCGUCAGCUCGUGUCGUGAGAUGUUAGGUUAAGUCCUAAAACGAGCGCAACCCUUAUCGUUAGUUACCAGCAUGUUAUGAUGGGGACUUUAACGAGACUGCCAAUGAAAAAUUGGAGGAAGGUGAGGAUCACGUCAAAUCAUCAUGCCCCUUAUGAUCUGGGCUACAAACGUGAUACAAUGGCUGUUACAAAGAGUAGCUAAAACGCGAGUUUAUAGCCAAUCUCAAAAAAACAGUCUCAGUUCGGAUUGAAGUCUGCAACUCGACUUCAUGAAGUUGAAUCGCUAGUAAUCGCG
rnacentral:rRNA from 1 species